rnacentral:lncRNA from 1 species
AGGGGGCCCUCACCUCGUCCCGGGACAUUUUUCUCCCCUCUAAAUGCUGUGAGGGCGAGGGGGAGAACCGAGGCCUUUCUCUCACACCGGCUGCUCACGGAAGCGCCAUUGUUUUCCCUUUUUGCAGUAACUCCCGUCCAUCCCGGCCUAGCAGAGUCGGGAGUUAUUUCCUUACUAACUGCCGCCGGAGCCGCCCGGGGUGGGGGGGCGGUGUCGCUGGGCGAGCUCCGACGGGGCGGGCUGCGCGGGCACUGCCCCUGGGCCGAGCCGGGCUGCGGGACAGGGGGCAAUAUCGGGGGUAGCCGGAGGAGGACCUCACCCCCCCACCGCAGAGCUCCGAGGUACGGCCCCGCCGCACUCACUGCGAGGACUCCGCGCACACACGCUCAGCGCUUCCUCGGGGGCACGAAAGGUGGAGGGACGUAUUUACGUUGCAGCUUAUUCCUUGACGUUCUCCAUCAGGGGUUUGCUCUGAGCUCUCACACCCCGGGGAGCUCCUCCAGCCGCCUCUCGGGGCAGGGGGACACGUGGGGAUGCCCUACGGUUUUCGGUAACCCUGUAUUGAGCUGCCCAAAAAGAGGAGGAGGAAGGAAGGGAAGAGGGCUCGGGCAGCACAAAAGUGGAUCGAAGUCCGAAUUAGUUUGGAAACGGUCAAGAAAUUCCGCGGGCACGUUUCUCCCUAAAUCCUCGGGAAGUUUCAAAAUUGUGUUUUCAAGUAAAAACAGGUUUAGAAUUUACCUCUCCUUAAUUCACGGCGGAAAAAUCUGCCCAGGGCAAAGCAAAAGUUUAGUGGAAAGAAAGAAAGAGAGAAAGAGAGAAAGAGAGAAAGAGAGAAAGAGAGAAAGAGAGAAAGAGAGAAAGAGAGAAAGAGAGAAAGAGAGAAAGAGAGAAAGANNNNNNNNNNNNNNNAGAAAGAAAGAAAGAAAGAAAGAAAGAAAGAAAGAAAGAAAGAAAGAAAGAAAGAAAGAAAGAAAGAAAGAAGGAAAGGAAGGAAGGAAGGAAGGAAGGAAGGAAGGAAGGAAGGAAGGAAGGAAGGAAGGAAGGAAGGAAGGAAAAGGAGGAAAAAAAGAAAGAAAAAGAAAUGGGAAAAAAAGGAAAAUAAAAGGAAAAUUUACAAAAAAAAAAAAGAAGAAGAAGAAGAAGAGAAAAAAAAAAAAAAGAUGCUGA